ensembl:lncRNA
CUAGAAGCAAGCACAACGUUGACUGCAGACAAUUAAUGUGGAGAGCAGUAGCCUAGAGCUAAGCCUUUGUGUUGAGACAAAUGGAGCAAGGGGUGGUAUACUGCACCCUGUGUUAUCCACCCUACGAUCCCUGCAUCUGGGCGUACAGGCAACUGCACAUUGUCUGCAUUUAUGGCUAUGAAGAGGGAGGAUGACGUGACAAAAAGCUCGUGAACGCUUUCUGCAGGCUGGAUGGGAAGUGCAGCUGAGGAUUUUGCGCAAGCAUCAGCAGUGCAGAGCCGUCUGUCUCUCUUUUGGAGACAAAAAUUGCUCCCAAAGAUAAAACUGGCAUGAUGGAGGUCAACCUGUAAGAAUAAACUUACUCGAGGUAAGGCCAGUCCCCAUUGACUUCUGUGCUUACAGGAGACAUCACCAGCUCCUCUUUUUCCCCUUCUCCAUUAUACUCAUUCUCUUGAGCUUGCUCUGCUCUGGAAUCAGUGGAUGAAAUGAAUCCAGUGGGUGAAGCUGGGAGGAGGUCAUUUGCCUCCCAUUUUGGUACUCUCUUUCCCAGCAGUGGGACCACUCAAAGCUCAUUUCAUCUGCUUUGCUGGAGCUGCCUAGAGUGGGAAGCAAAAUGGAUUUCAGCCUUGCAUCAGACUACGUUUAAGCCUAGCCCAAAUCCUGGACUGUCCGAACUUGAAAUUUCCAAAGAGCAGAUCAGGAUAAAGAAUGUGAAUUGCACUUCAACUCUUGGUGUUUAGGGGUGCUCCAGCCCUGAAGGUGUCAAGGCCAGGCUGGAUGGCGCCCUGGGCAGCCUGAUCUGAGGGGGGGCUUUAAGACCCCUUCUGACCUAAGCCAUUCUAUGAUUCUCUGAUUCUAUUCCAGCUUCCUGUGAGCCAGAAGCAGGAUAAAUGAUAGUCUCUGUCUUCAGUUAUUAGGGUUUCAAGGGAAGAAGUCUCUUUGGACCUUCAGCGUCUCUGAGUGUGACACAGUUAACAAGUAUUCCUAAAAGCUCUGAAUCACAGACAGAUGUCUGGACCUGUGCUGGCUAGAGGCUAAUCACUUUCUGAACUGGAAUAAACCCUAAACUAGCAAACACAAGUCCUGGUGAAACAGCAGGGCUGCAGCAUCAUCCCCCUUCAUUUCCCUUUUUCCCUUGGCUGCAGAGCUCUCAUUGCAGCAGCCUGACUUCAAACACUGACAAAUGUCACUGCUGACACUGCUAUGGAGGGUGCACACCAUCAUUAUAAUCUGUAUGCAUUUAGCCAUCCCAGCAUGAUAAGAGAAUGAUUAGGAGAAUAGUUAGAGAGUAAAUUAAAAACUCCCAGCAGUUUUCUGUGUGAACCUACUAACUUACAGGCAUAUUUUUUUCACAGCAUUACUGAAAAAUGCCAUUAGUUAUACCUGUGACUACAUGUUAGAUUUAAACCCCUGGUGAGAAUUUUUAUUAAUAUACAAAUAUGUUAGGGCUCUUAUGCUGCUUAAAAUGUAAUUAACCAUCUUCUGAAGAUUAAGAGUACAUAAUCAUAAAAGAACUGCACUCUUGUGCAUUUAAUUCUUCUAAUCUGCUUUAUGUUGAUGUUAGUGUGGAAGAAUAAUUGCUAGUUUGCCUUAAUAGUUUGGGUUUCUGCUAUAGGAAGAAAUUGUUAGUGAAUGUAUUUCUAAACUUCAGAUUUGGUGUGCUUGCACCGAUGAAAGACGAUAAAGUGCAAACUGAGAAUAGGAAAACUUGCUGCUUUUAUCCUGCUGCUGCAAAUGCCCAGCAGUGGCAAAGCUGUAUUUCAGCUUCGAAAAAGAGAACAGGAUGAGCAUAUCCAGUGAAUGACAAAGGUAUGAGCAAUAAACUCCAAGUAAUCUCUUUAAGCACUAAUUUAAACACAUAAGGUGUCAACCAAGCCAUGGGGGGAUCCAACAAGGCUUUUCAAGAAGGCUGUGGGAGCUGAGCUCAUCACUCAUUACAGAACAUAGUAUUGGAAUUGUCCAUCCUUCCAGGACUGCCACAAUCUUCAUACAAUGGCCAUCACGUUUAACUGAAAAGAGGUUAAAACCCUCAGAGAUGCAGACUGCCGCUCUUUAGGGGUAUUUCCUUCCUGGCAACAUGAUCGAUAAACCAUUAGGUAACUCUGAUGACUGUGCAAAAAUCAGCCUUUUUCCUCCUCCUCUCUCCCAGCGUUGCUUCCUGAAUGCUAAGAAGAGGUUAAGGAAGAGCACUGAAUGCUGCGGGUUGCCACCACUGUGCAGUGUGGGCAGUCAGUUCACAGGGGAGCCUAUGGGGCAGGAACACCCAUGGAAAACGUGGACAAAAAAAGCCCACAGUGCUCCUGCUGUGAUGAAGGGGAUGGAGACUGGCUGUUGCUCCUUGAAGACCACCAGAGCAGGGAGCUUCCUCCUCGCUUGAAGCGUCUAAGAGCUCUGCAAGGCGCUGGGAGAAAACCAGCCUCCAUCACCAACUUCAGGGGUUGGAAAAUAAUUGGAAAAGAAUCCCCCAUGUAUUUUUUCUUCUAUGACUCAUGAAUUUCAGUGGGGUCCCUCAGCGCACAUCUCUCCAUGGGGUCACAGUGCCUUGUGGCAGGCAGCUGUGUCCAGUCGGGACCCAGUUCUAGGGGAGAGCGGUGACAGUGUGACCGCAGGGAGCAGCGGUAUGCAGCCCGAGAAGGGCUCCUCGGCUGCUUUCUGCUUGUUUUCAUUACUUCCAAAUGAAUGCACAGCCUUUAUUGAAAGUCGCUUGUUUUCAGUGCAGCUUCCUUUUGAGGCAGGUGUGACAGUCAGCAUUGCUCUGGGCCUUACACCAUGCUCAGUUCUCCAGGCUUCCGGCUGCAGCUCCUCAAGUCAAAACCCACACAGACAACAUAGAUGUUCCUGUGGGCUUUCUAUGUCCGGCGAGGGUCAGCUGUGGGUUAGGGAAAGGCUGUGCCCCAGAGGGCAGUGGGCAUGGAACAGCCUGCCCAGGGCAGUGGGCAUGGCCCCAGUGCUGAGGCUCAGGGAGUGCUGGGAUGCCGCUCUCAGACAUAGGGUACGUGGGGCUGAAAGGCCCUGCCAGCCCACAGCAGGCCGCGGCCCUGUGCCCGCUGUGGCUUGACUCAAAGCAUUCCAGAGAGGAAUAAAUACAGGUUAAGUACUAAAAUCCUACUGAAACCGCGCAGGAGCUGAGUGCUCAGUUCCCUCAAGAUUUUUUAGGCAGGUGGAAUAUAUCUAUCUAAGCCAAGGAAAAGGACACCAGGCUUCCAACUCUAGCUCUGCUUAAGGUCUGUUACUGCAAAUAACCUUUUACAAAGUGGAGUUGAGAACCUGAUUAAUUCUGCUUGCCAUUCAAGCUUGCAUUAAAUAAGACGUGUAACUUCAGACAGAAAGCCAGCCAUUCUUCUGUUCUAACAGUCUGCUGUCAACGCAGGACAAUAAAAUAUGAAUAUUUUAGAUUCAUAGUGCAGACAAAUAGGAAAUAGGAGCUGUAUUGUGCUUCACAUGCAUGGCUAGCUCAGUAAUGCUAACGUGAUUAUCUCAUUGAACUUUUGUGCCAUCGCUUAAGGGCAGCUUUGUCUUGCUUAGCUGGGAUGUACAUAUUUGUUUCUUCCAUGCAUAGCUCCAUAGUCUUUUUUAAGCUUGUGGAAAUGGGAAAAUCUGAUUUUCCUCCUCAGCCACAAGGUAGCAUCAUUCCUUGGCAUUGCUUGGACCAGUACGUCUUAAGUGCAAUUUUUACAGGUUCCUACCAAAAUAUUUUAAUGUCUGCAGCUAGAUUUCCAGACAGAAACAUGGGAAAAUCACACCAGAAUUUAAAAUAUGAAUUAUAGCGUGGCUCACUCUCUGUAACAGAGAGACAAGGAGGGUAAUCAAAACAUGAAAUAUUCUGAUUCAUUCCUCUCCCUAAGCAGAAAAAAAAUGUUUUCAGGAUUAGUGGGGGUUUGGUCUAGAUGGGCUGCCAUUUGGUUAUUCAGCUGUGAGAUUCAUUACCUGGGCAGGCUGGCUUUGCCAGCCCUGAGAUCACAGCAAUAGCAUGCACCUGACGUGGGGUGGCAAAAAAAGCUGGGUGAAUUCAACUCUAAUGAAAACAUCUUGCCACACUGACCCAAAAAACCAUCAAUCUGAGUACUUAGUUCCCUUUUUAAUAUCUAAAUCCUUUUAUUUUCUCUGUGCUGGAUUUGUUUUAUAUUUCCCUUUUAAGUUAGCACUUUGUGUGGGGGUGGAUGAUACGAAGACCAGUUUUGAUGGAAAGCAGAUUGAGCCUUGAAGACUUUCAUCACUGCAUUAUAGCUCUGCUCCCUCCACCCCUCACUGAUAUCCCUCCAUUUACAUGAGUAUUGGACAGGACUUAGGAAUCAGCCCUGACUUGGCCAGUUUUAUUGGGUUUAUGUGGCAAUGUUUUGGUAGCAGGAGGCUGCAGGUGUGGCUUGUGUGAAUAGGCCAAGACCUGCCCCAUCUUAGAUCAAAGCCAGUUCCAACCAGCUCUAAAAGUGACUGACUGCUGCCCACAGCUGAGCCAAUUGGUGAUGCUGGUGGCACCUCAGCGAUAACACACUUAAGAAAGGGUAAAAUACAUUCUGCAGCAGUUGUGAGAGAGAGGAAUGAGAAAAUGUGAGAGAAAACUCUGCAGACACCAAGGUUAGGGAAGAAGGAGGGGGAAGAGGUUCUCUAGGCACUGGAGCACGCAUUUCUUGACAGCCCAUGAAGAGGACCAUGGUGAUGGAAGCAGACCAUGGAGGAACCCAUGCCACAGCAGGUGGAUAUCCUGAAGGAAGCUGAAGCCAGCCAACACAGGAGCAGGCUGGAGCUGUAUCCAUGCAGAAGGGACCAUGCUGGAGCAGUCUCCUGUUUAUGGAUGGUACCUUGCACAGAGGACCCGUGCUGUAGCAGUUCUUGAAGGAUUGCUUCCCAUGGGAAGGACCCCAUUCUGGAGCAGGGGAAGAGUGUGAGGAGGAAGGAGUGACAGAUGUGGACUGCUGGAACUGACAGAUGUGGACUGAUGGAACUGCCCAUUCUCCAUCCUCUGUGCUGCUCCUUCACCCUGCUAUGGUCAUGUCCCAGGGCAAAUAAUGGCUGUGCAUCCAGCCUCUGUCCUUUCUUCCCUUAGAGUAUUUACAGGCAGAUUUAACAAUUCCUCAUUGACUGAAAGGGUUCAAUGUGCUAGCAAAACUUAAAAAUUCAAAUGACUAUUAACAAUUUUAAUGAACUUUGUCAUAAAAUGUAACUAUAAAGAAUGCCCCAUUAAAAAAAAAAAAAAAAAAAAAAGACCUUUCACAACCAGAAGUAAAAAAUAACCUUUAAAAAUUCUUAUGAAAUGUAUGAUGAAACAUAGAGUCAUAGAAUCAUAGAAUGGCCUGGGUUGAAAAGGACCGUAAUGGUCAUUGAGUUUCAACCCCCCUGCUAUGUGCAGUGUCACCAACCACCAGACCAGGCUGCCCAGAGCCAAAGUUGGUCCCUCAGUGUGCAUUAGCAUUGAUGUAGAGAUGUAGAAGUUAUAAAGGCCACUGUAGCUCAGGGAUUUAGUGCAGGUAAUAAGAUGAAAAGAAUGGGCACAGUCUCCUUUUGGUAGAAUUGGUAUGACAACAUCUCAAGUCCCAGCUGAGCAGGGAUCAAAUCAAGAUGUACAGUUCUGUAUAAAAGUGAACGCAAAGCUAUGUUGGAUGCUCAGCAUGCAAAGGAAGGUUCAGGCUAUGUUAGAGAGUCUUAAGAAGAAUUUGGCAGCUUGCUGGGGAGGAGGGAAGGGAUGCAGAACAGAUGUUCUGAAGAUCCCUCUGGUUUUAACAUCUGCUCCAUAGUUCUUGCAACUGGGAGGGUCUGGAUUUGAUGACCAGUUUCACAUUCCUGAAAUGGCCAUAAUCUCUGCCCUGAAGCCCUCUGAGCCAAAGCAAGGGGUGAGUAAAUAUAUACUUACAUUAACUUCUGGACAAUGAUUUCAACUUGCUGAAGUCAAUGGGACUUUGACGCAUGAUGGAAGCUAAUCAGGUACUUACCUAGUUUCCUCAUUAGUGAUGAAUUGGUCGUUUACUUUAGAGGACAUAACAUAACCACUGAAAGCAUAGCAAAUUCUUCAUGUUAAAUUGGCCUCUAUGGAGCUCUAUGAGUGAGUGAGCGUGUAUAUAUGUGUUCAGAGGGCAGAAGGUUGUUCUUUUCCUCUCUGGUUUUAUUCUCUUCCUCUCCACUUUCUAUAGUAUCCUCUUCCUAUUUUAUUUGUUGUUCUCUCCCCUCUUCCUCACAGUUUUUGUUUCAUGUUCUUUUUCACAGCAUUUUAGCCAUAGUAUCUUUAAGAUCUUUACAGUCUCUAUGUUUAAAGACUGACCCCGCCUCAAGGAACCCUAAAAUGCCGUGUCUCAGAUUCCUUAUAAAUGUGGAGAGGGGCAAAAUGCAGCUUUCCCAUUUCCCCAGCACUUUUUGGUUCUCUCAGCUAAUCUACACUAAUGUUUUUUGAUUUUAAUAUUACUACAAUUUUGGAGAUAUCAGUUACUUCCACUUUAUAUAUCAGAAUCUCUGCACUAUGAAACCAAAAUGCAUAGCCGUGCUUUUCCUGAAGAGGCCAUUGUCAAGGAUUUCCCAAGCCCAAAUAUGAUAUAACUCUGAGUCUAAAACUUCUGGGAUGCAUCAGACAUCCUCUCCAUACACAGAUCAACUACACAUAAGAUGAACAGUAGGUCAAAAUUUUCUCUGAGAGUGUAUGGUAAUUGCUUAUGCAAUGAAACAGACGGUGAAAUGUUUGGAAGCCAUCACUCCUCUCAUCCAUGAGAAGCCUGGAGACCUUAGUCUAAUGUGUAAUAACCAAGAACUCUUCCUGGAUGGAAGAGAGGACACUUCCAGCAAAACCUACUUAGCCCAAGUGAGAGCACAACAUUUCCAGAUAUGGCUGUGUGAUAGUUUGAUGUACAUGAGGCAAGAAAGGGCUUAGAGCAGAGAAGAUAUUCUCAAGGUAUAUUGUGCACCGAGAAUAAACAACCAUAUGGAGGAAAGCCCCGAGGGAUUUCUCUCUUCUUUCCCCUGAAGCUCAAAUACUGCCAGAGGAAACCCAACAGAUUUGGGUUUCUUGGUGGAAGUGGCACACUUUUGAUGUUCCAAAAUAAUGCAUAUAUCUCUCUGCUUCUAUUUUCUGAAUCCUUGACAUCAAGCAAGGCAUUAAAAUGUACACUGGCAAGGAUACAGGCAAGGAUAUAGGCAUCUCAGAAUUCUCUCUGUCACAGAAUCACAGAAUUCUAGAGUGGUUUGGGUUGGAAGGGACCUUUAAGAUCAUCUAGAUCCAACUUCCCUGCUAGAGCCAGGGACCCCUCCCUCUAGAGUUAGAGAGGUUUCUCCCAGCCCCAUCCAGCCUGGCCAAGGAUUGGACAGCCACAACAUCUCUGAUCGUAUAUGGCUCUUGUCAAAUGCUUGAUACUGUAGGCAGCAAGAUCCUGCAUGGGAAGGUGGGCCGUCAUCUUAUUUUCCAUUGGAAAGUUAUGUUUUUUUGGAUGAUUUAUGCCUGAAACAAUGCUAAUCUAUGUUAAUGUGUAACUUAGCUUGGAUGUCAGAGCAUGUGGGUGGUUAUUGACAGUGCAGGUUCACAAAGAAUCCCAGUAUAGCUGUACAUCAGCGGACUAUUGCCUUUAUCUGGCAGCCCAAGGAAAUAGCAAUUAGGAUCAGAUGGGGCCAACCAAUGACUUGUCAUAGUCCAGCUAUAUGGUUAUGUUGGUUAUGCUGUCUUUUUCUUUGCAAACCACAUGUUAAAAUCACCUUUAGGCUAGCUCCUAUGCUACUGUAAUUCAUGAAAUAAUUAGCAGCAAGAAAUGAAAGAAAAUACAUCUAAUGAAACAACAGCUGGAUUAAUAGAUCCCUGUAUUUGGAGCUUUUCUGAGCAGCCAGGAAUUACCUGCUAGGGACAUGUUCCCAUUCAUUGCAACACACAGCUGGCAGUUCAUGGCACGCAGUGUGCUACAUUCCUAAGACUCAAUUUCUUCUUUGCUUUCUAACUGGAAAAUCAAAUCCUGCCCUGGACUCUGACUGCAGCCACUGCAAAGGGUAAACAUACCACCGCCUUUCCAGCAGUGUCCCUUUCUAAUGAGAUCCAGCCCAAACUAUUACACUAAGGCUCAGUGAUGACAGCGACCUUUAUGGCUUUGGCAGGACCACUAGCACUCAAGGUAUUUUCUCCAGCAAUACCCCUCUUGUAGCAAGAAAUAAGAAAGUACAGGAGUGGAGAAACCAGUCAUUUCUCAGUUUAAAUGCUGUAUUUUACAGCAGCCUAGAGGAAUGUUUUGAUCCUGACGCAACACUUAACUGACCUGAAACAGAAGCAGCUGUUUCUCUACUGUCUGAGUGCCUCAGCCUAGCAAAAUGCAGAAGUGUGAAGUGAAGGUCUCUGCUGAGAUAUGUAUAAUUACAGAUUUUGUGCAUGUUAGGCACUCUCUAUUUUACACUGUUCAAUAGGCCUUGUCUGCAGCAUAAAGUGGUAUGGAAAAUUACUGGCUUAAAAAUGCAUCUGCUAAGGCAGAGCUUGAGGUCUGCAUCACAGGCAUGCGUGGUCCCACUCUGCUUCUGAAAGUAAGAUCAGAGGUAAUUCUCCUCUCCAGAAGAGGGACCACAGAGCUCUGUGAUGGGGGAGGCAGAGUCAGGACAGGAUCCAGAUGUGCUGCAGAGGGGAACUGCUGCAGUGUGGUCUGAUGGGCUGUGCACGCUGCUCUGGGUAUCGGCCAGGGAGCAAGGGGAGCUGCUUUACUCUCAUCUCUUCCUCCCCUUUAUAGAAGGUGAGCAGCACCUACAAAGCAGCAUCUGGGUGCUCCCCAGGCUGACAGAUGCUUGCAGCCAGGCUGUACAUGGAAAAUGGGAUGGGUAUUUGAGGUCUGCUUCACAGUGUCACAGCUUUCUCAUUGAGCUGAACCAAAGAAAUCAACAACAAAAACAGACCCAGUGGACUGCAGGAUUUGUAUUGCACUGCUCACCAAUCAGAACUGAUGACAGGUGAAAACAGAUAAUAAAUCCAAUUGGCAAAGCUUGAGGCUGUUAACGCUGGCCCAAACCAUUUGAGAUUGGCAUCCUAAAAGCUUUUCUUUGUACUGAUUCCUAAUGGCUAAUGUACCAGAGGCUCUCCCUCUCCAAUCACCUUGGUGUGCAUCAGGCUGGCUUUCAAUUUCCCUGUGUCCUCUGCACAGGAAAGAGAAAAGAAAUCAAACAAGGGCAUACGGUCCACUCAGCAGAAUAUGCAAACAGGGGAGCUUGGAGACGAGUCAGCUGGAGACUGGGCUGCCUCCUGGAACUGGGGUGGAACAGCAAGGAAGAGAGUAGUGAGACGCUGUGAUUUAUAUCAUGUAUUUGUCACACGGCACUAUAUGUUAGCAUACAUACACACACAUCCACAGCAUAUGUGUUGACUCAUGGAUUCUCUGGCUGCUCAGCAAGCUUCCAGCCAUCGCUCUUGGUUGAGACAUGGCAGGUUAGUUACUUUUGCCCUUCACGUGAUCCUGCAUCAAGGAGAAACUAAAGCAAUCUUGACUUUUUGCUACUAAAUCUCCACGUUCCAUUUCCAGGACCCUCUGCUCACAGCUGUUAGAACACUUAUGCAGACAUUCUUUUUUCUUUUUUCUCCUACUGAUGAACUGAGCUCUCAAACUAUAUUCCAGCUGGGAACGUACAAUUAAUUGUCACAUGAAACUAAAGACUGCUUCCAUAUGUCUUCUGAUGCACGCCAUACAUACAGGUGUCUUUGCCUCGGAUGCACAUACCUUCUGUCUGGUGCUAAGAGGGAGAGAAAGCUCAGCCUGACGUCCAUCCUGCAAACUCGUGAACAUGGUCAGUCAGCGGUGAAGGUAACCGAAGUACUCUGUGCUACUAAAUCCCUCACCAGAUCUGUGAAACAAAGGAAAUAAAUGGCUUCUUUAUUAAAAUAAUGAAUAAUAAUGGAAUAAUAAAUAUCUGUGAUCAAAAUCCCCAGUAUCACAGCCCCAUCUAAUGGACUGGCUGAAAGAUAUUGGAAGGAACUACAGAACAGAGUUUAUGUGUUCUCUUGCAAUAUAAGUUAUCGUGAUAAACGGGACCCCAUGGUAUAUUAAACUCUUAAUUAUGGGCACAAGAGGCAUUUUCUCUGAAAAUUAAAAAGGUUGCAAAAUGGCUGCAGCCUCUGGGAGGCAAUUCGUAGAAGCAAAAUGCAGCUCGGUGUUAGUGACUCCUUUAUCUCCUGCCUUCAGUAUCCUCUUGGCAUGGAUUAGCCUGGAGAGGGGAGUCUCCAUAUUUCUUCGUCGUGUUAUCAUUAUGCCAGUGACUCUGGAAAGCCAUAAUCCUACAGAGCAGCACAGGCCCAAGGGAAAACACAAGCAAAUCACUGAGAGAAGAGAGAUAUCAGUUAAUUCAGGCUUCAUUUUCUAUUGUUCAUCUGAACCUUUUUUUAAUUUAGGAAAAUAUGGCAGGAGAUGCGUGGCUUGCAGAGAAAUAGCUUGGCCUGUAUAGCAUCAGUAACACAUCUACGUAAGCCUGCUUGAAACACUAUUGUGCUGGCACCAUCAUGACCAUAAGGCUUGUUACCCAACUUUCAGGUCUCUUGGCUGUACUAGGCUGCACAAAACACAGUUACAUGCAGCUGGGUGCUGGAAGGAGGGGUUCCACGAGGAGCCCCAGUGCUUCUGGAGGAAAUAAGAGUGGCUUUUUUUAAUUGCAGGUCUUAUUCUGCCUGGAGAAGAGAAGGCUCUGGAGAGACCUCAUUGUGGCCUUUCAGUACUUGAAGGGAAUUAUAAGCAGAAGGGGGACCUGUUCCAGUGCCUCAUCACCCUACACCAGAUUUGGUGUACACAAGUCUGAUUGCCCAGAGAGCUGCGGGUGCCCCAUCCCUGGAGGUGCCCAAGGCCAGUCUGCAUGGGGCCCUGGGCAGCCUGAGCUGCUGGGGGGCAACCAGCCCAGAGCAGGGGUUGGGGCUGGAUGGGCUUUAAGGUCCCUUCCAAUCCAAGUCAUUAUGUGAUUCUACGAUUCUAUGCAUAGAGUAACUAAUGGUUUCUAGACAUCUGCAAAGGUAUUUUGGAUCCCAGAAGUUUUCUGAGAUAACGUUGCUAGGAAUAUUUCAUGCCUCUUCCUUAGAGCUGUUCUUUGCUCCUCCUACAGUGUCAGUCAAAAAAGUACGUCUUGCCAGAUGACUCAAAGUCCUGAGCCCCCAACACAUUCACUAGUGCUCAUUAACAUGCCCCUGAAAAUGGGAAAAAUUAAGCAGCAAAAGACCUUUGUAGGUGUUGUCCUCAGGACUGCCCACUUUCAUUCUCUUCUGAAGGUUUCCCAGCACUGUGCUCAGCUCAUUAAGUAGAGAGCUUGAGAUCUAUCUAUCUUUCCCCUUGUGAGACUGAGUGCUCAGACACAAACAAGGUCUUUUUGUACUGAAUCAAUAAAUCAGCAUCUUAGAUCGUGAACCAAUAAAUCAGUAUCCUAAAGGAUUUCUGAGCUGACUAUCUGUCUGUAAUAUUUACCUGAGGGCCUGAUGUGGACUUUGUCCAUGCUGGUGCAAGGCCCAUGAAGCCUGGCCAGGGAACCAGCUCCAUCACAUCAGCAACAUUUGCUCUCCCUAAGAGAUGCUCAGAUAAAUCAUAGAACCAUAGAAUGUCUUGAGGUGAAAGGGACCCUUAAAGGUCAUCUAGUCCAGCUGCUCUGCAAUGAACAGGGAUACCUAUAGGUUGAUCAGAUAUUCAAAGCCCCAUCCAGCCUGACCUUGAGUGUCUCCAGGGAUGGGGCAUCCACCACCUCUCUGGGCAAUCUGUGCCAAUGCCUCACCAUCCCUAUUUAGACAACUUCUUCCUUAUAUCCAAUCUAAAUCUUUUCUCUUUUUAGUUUGAAACUAUUUCCCCCUUUUUUUUUCCUAUGACAACAGAUUCUGCUAAAGCAUCUGUUUCUGAUUGGCAUCUGAUUAGCAUCUGAUUCUGCUAAAGCAUCCCCCUUGGGCAGGAUUGUUUUGGGG